rnacentral:rRNA from 1 species
UACGUAGGUGGCAAGCGUUGUCCGGAAUUAUUGGGCGUAAAGCGCGCGCAGGCGGCCUCUUAAGUCUGAUGUGAAAGCCCCCCGGCUCAACCGGGGGAGGGCCUUGGAAACUGGGAGGCUUGAGUAUAGGAGAGAAGAGUGGAAUUCCACGUGUAGCGGUGAAAUGCGUAGAGAUGUGGAGGAACACCAGUGGCGAAGGCG